UAACCGCUGGCGGGACUUGGUAGCCCGCGAAUGUUG
rfam:Prevotella sp. CAG:873 genomic scaffold, scf321